UUGUCGAUGUAAAUAAAAGGAUGAAAUGAAAAUAGAUCCAUCUGCGUUUGUCCAUGAGUUUUAAUUAAUUUUGUUGAUUGUGUUAAUUGAGACUUUAACUUACGUUCGUUUUGCCUUUCAUUUCUUUUCGCUAGGUCGUAGAAAUUAAUUUUGCUCAUUAUGUCCAACAAAUUCGAAAACUCAAAGAAUAACGAUGAUUCAAAUGAUGACCUGACUUGCACAGAUUUGUUAAGUGCUGAUAAGGUGUUGCUGAUACCUUUCAAAAUACCACCCGGCGACCAUAAACUACAGUAUCAGUAUUGGCUAUGGUUCAGCCGAAGAAAUCCUGGUAGAACUCCUCAGGUGCAAAGUUAUGACCAAAAUUUAAAAUUGAUAGGAAGAUUUGGUUCAGUGGAGCAGUUUUGGGCCAUAUACAGUCAUUUAGUGCGACCUUCCGAGCUUCAGUGUCUAAGUGAUUUCCAUCUCUUCAAAGUUGGCAUUAAACCUAUGUGGGAGGAUGAAGCCAAUGAAAGAGGCGGAAAGUGGAUAGUAAGAUUACGGAAAGGCUUAGCAUCAAGGUGCUGGGAAAAUUUAGUACUUGCAAUGCUAGGGGAACAAUUUAUGGUCGGUGAAGAAAUAUGUGGAGCAGUUGUGUCAAUACGGUUUCAGGAAGACAUAAUCUCAGUAUGGAAUAAAUCUGCCUCUGAUCAGGCAACAACUAAUAGAAUACGCGAUACCUUAAGGAGAGUCUUAAACCUGCCACCUAACACAAUACUCGAGUACAAAACUCAUAAUGAUAGCCUCAAAUUAAAACACACAACUCAAAAUUCAACGCGUAAACCACUCGAAAGUUUGAAAACAAUGAAUCCUCGUUUACCAUCGAGAAUCAUGUUCGUUCCACCCAAUAACCGGAUUUCAUCUAGAGGCUCAAUAUCAGUAGACGGACCGCCACGAUCGCUCAUGGACCCGUAGCCAUAUUUGUAGAGGAGCGGAACAAUCGGACAGACAGAAUCAGAACAUAAUAUCAAACAAAGAUAAUUUCAGUUUCCGGAAUGCUGACAUCCUACCAGUAUCAAGAAUAAAAUGACACUCUUCUCUUUGAGUUCAUUUGAGGCAGUGUGUAACGAAGAAAAUCAAUCAGUGACUUAACCUCCAUGUUUUACAUUAAUUUUUUAAUCAAAUUUAUUUUUUGGUCAUUUGAUUUUGAUUUUUUUGCCAUCCAAGGUUUUUUUAACAGAGCUUUUUGUUUUAAAAAAGGAAAUUUGUGAUAACUGUUUUUACCAAUGAUGAAUGUAUUUACUUUUUAUCAGUAUAUUUUUAAAGGAUUGAUUAGUUGAUAUUGGGGUAGCAUGAAAUUGAUUCAUUUCCAAAGGAAUGUUAACACACUGUAGUUAGAACUGGCUGUUUGUUCAUUGUUGUCGAACUGUUUCCUCAGGCAGUUAUACCCAAAUUAUUCGGUUCAUUAUUUAGUUUGUUGCUUUCGGUUCUGAUGAUUUUAGACUUUUUGCUCUCACUGAUUUUAAAAACUGCAAGGUGCCAGGUACUCUUUCAUCAUGUUACCCAUUGUCAUCAGAUUGCAUCAAUAAAGUAGCUAAUUUUGGCCAUGACUCAAUAUCAAAUUUUCAUAACUAUAAGGACAUGAAUUGAUUUUCAACUCUUUUAUCAGAUAAAAAUAAUUCAAAUAAACUGGGUGAAGUCAGUUUCGGGGGAAGUGUUUUAGCUUAUUGAGUGAAUUUAAAUGAUUUUGCUGAAAUUUUAUUUCAGUAUUGCCUUCAACUACACCAGUUUAAGCAGAGUUGCAGAAAGUUUAGCCACUAAGAAGAGUUUGUUAACUGUCAGUUUUCAAAGUUACUUUAAUUUUCUGAAGACUAUAGUAUAGUAGAUAGCAAAAUCUGGUUUAAAAAACUGAAAUAAUUGAUAAAUCUUCCCUAAAAUGUCAAGGAACUUCAUGAAAAAAAUAUGAAUUUCUUCAUUUUUUACUUUUCUCUGUAUUCAGAAUUUUUGCAAGUGUCAAAAAUAAUUGUUUGAAAAAUGAUUGCUUCAAAAAAGAGAAUUGAGAAUUAAGGUGACCUUUGUAAAUCACACAGUAGACACACCCUUUGUUUUAGGCAUGUCACCACGAUGAUAAAUGAUUCAUUCAUUACAUAAGUUGGAGGCUUUUUCAACAUUUUGGUCAGAAAAAGCUUGGCAAAUUCACGAAAUUUUUCUCUUAAAGUCUGUCCACUUAAAUUAACGAAGAUUCUUUAAUUGGCAAACAGCGUACUAUCUAAGCUCACUCAGAAUUUCUGAUCAUCAAACACCACAAAAGCCAUCUCAUUUCAAUUGCUGCUAGCCACCCCUCCUGCUUUGUGGGCGUAGAAUAAUUUCUUCGAGUCUUCAACUUUCAUUGCAGGCAUUGAACCUAGUUUUAUGUGCUAUUACUUUUUUUCUGGAAGAAAGUUGAAAGUGAUGUCAGAUCCGUUUUAAAUAUUGAUUCAGAGCAUUUUGUCUUGUUAUUUUGCAUACAUUGAUUGUCGGUUGAUAAUUGACCUGCCAAACCUCUACUGCUCAUUUUUAAAGCUGUUAUAUACAUAUAGAGAGAACAGCCCUAUCACUGAUUGUACCAUAGGUCUUUAAUUUUCUUGUUACUGUAUAAUUUAAAUGAUAUUUGCACAAGCAAAUAUUUUAAAAGGUGCAAGUAAUAUGAUCGAGAAAUGCAUAUUUUUAAUUUUGAUAAAAUAAAGCAAAUUUGUAAUUUGCAGGAACGAAUUGCAACAAAAAUUAAAGACAGAAUUUUAUGCAAAUAAAGUGAUUUUCAUUAACA